rnacentral:tRNA from 1 species
GGGCUGAUAUAUCAGCUGGUAGAUAGCUCGCUUCGCAUGCGAGAGGCCCCGGGUUCGAAUCCCGGUCAGUCCA